GAGCCAAGUAUCUAUUGCCACUCCCACAAACAUUUUUUGCACGAGCUCAAGCCCAUUGCCGACAAUUUCAAUCAAAAGAACUUGAAGCAUAUUUAGAAGUAAUAAAGAUUGAAACAGCUCAACUAAUAUCAUAAAAUUAAGCAAACAGAAGGAAAUUAUAACUGAUUCUAAUUAUCAUCGUGCCAUGUAUUAAUGAAUUUUAAUAGACACAGCAUUGCCAAGACGAGGUUAUAUCAAAGAAUAACAC
rnacentral:lncRNA from 1 species